GAAGCGAGGCAUUUUGGCUAGUCACCGCGUUUUUGCUGCGUCACAGGGAGACAGAAGAUGGGCUGCUAUUUCGUCGGCUAAAUGCUAUCAUUUUAAGCACCGUUCCAAAGAAAACAGGGAUCUUGCCAGAGGAAAAUAACAUAUACCAUAAAGGAAAAAGAAAUGUGCAUCAAGGCAAAUAAACAGCUCUCUACUAAGGGCCUAGGAUCUUGCUAGACGAGUCAUUUCUCUGGUUGAAAAGCAGUUGAGAAAGGCAAGACAAGGGGGGCGGGGGCCCAGCAGGGCACCUCUGAGCCCUUCCUGCUGCUCUUCAAAGACAGACGCAUUUUCCUUUCUACGGUCUCCUUGCAAGUCUUCUGUAGGCCCUGCCACCUUCAGGCUGACUGACUGCCUCCUUCAAAUAUCAGCAUUUGCUCAGCAGAGCUUUGUGCUGGUGGACAGAUGGAUGUGCUGGAAGGAGACCCCUGCUGACCCCUGCUGACUCCAUGACAGAGGGAUGGAAAUUCUGCCCCUCCCAGACCUCACCCUAUGCGUUCUGUUUCCUUUAUAAUGAAAGCACAAUUAGAGGAAGGGUACUGGGGAGUCGACACCCUCAUGUCUGUGAGCUGACUGCAGGACGUCUCCUGUCCAGGUGCUGGCACCUCAUCUAACAUUUGAAGGCUCAGAAGAAAAGCCACGUCUGCCUACACAAUCUCACAAUCCGGCUUCAGCAAAGCAUGAGUUAAUUCAACUUCAUACUCGUGAACGUGAAGCGGGGGUUGGAAGGAAUGAAGGCUGCAGGACACCCAUGUACCAAGAAAAAGAAAGACAAAUUGGUUGUUUUAUCUACUUUACAUCAUGAUGGAGUCCUAAAAAGGGCCCCAUGAAGGCAGGCAGCCCAGGGAGGAAUGACUGGACGGUGACAUUGUGCAGGGGGUCUGGAAGUUGCCAGCGCAGGGGUUAGCAGCUGCAGCCUGGCCUGGUCCUGUCUGCCUGGCUGUCAAACCCAGAAGACCGUGGUUUCUGGUGGCCUCUGUGUGACAGCGGAGGAGGUGGGGCGAGGCCUGGAAGUGAAGCAUCUCGUGAGCCACUUAAGUGUUUAUGAAGCUCGCUAAUGUGCUUAAAUGAACGAGAAGCAGGUACUUGCUCCCAGGACCAGAGCCACCAAAGCAAUUUCCUCUGCAGCCCCUCAUACUUCGCACACUGGAAGCUUGCAUUCUUUCCCAGAGGACAGCCGGAUUACAGCACCGCCUCUAAUGCAACCCGAUCUGGUUUCUUUGAGCGCCGCGGUGAACGUGCAAUCUAUCUCAUAAAUGCAUCGCAGUGUUCCACAAAUCACCCACGUUCAUCCCUUGAGACGUCUUUAACUCGGGGCUUAGAGUUGCAAAUGAAUUCUCCUAUGGAUCUAUUAUUCCAUCAAAUAGCGGAGAGAGGGGACUAGCUUGUGCAGAGCCUUCAUAGAGCUGGGCUAAAUUCGAUUAUGCAAAGUCUAACGAGCACCAUUCAGCAAAACCAUGGUGGGUGUGAGCUGCAGGCCAGCCCCUCCACUGGGCCAUUAUCCAGGGGUAAACACCACUCGUGGGUUAGUUCCACGAGUUACUGGCUGAUUUGACCUGUGAUACUCCAAGGUGGAAGUAACCAAAUAAUAUGUAUCAUGAGCCCCAAGAACGAAGCCAGUGGAGAGUGGUACAUGCUAGAGGGUAACGCCUGGCCCUUUGCAGGACAGCACGUCAGCCAUGCGCCAUGGGACGAUGGUGGUGGCUGGGACACAGGAGGCCACGGCAGGAAAUGGGCAGGUGGGUGGGUCUAUGUAAGCUGGCUUUAGACUUCAAUCCACAAGCAUUUGCAGCUCAACUACUCAGCGUCUUAUCUUAUUUAAUCCUUUCAGCAAUAAACACUCUUUUCACAUGUAGUAAGGUUAAGGAGUCUACAUCACACCCUUUAUCAUUAUUAAUAAAGGGACACACCCUCCAGGGAUCCUAGGGAACCUCCUACCCACCCUGUGGUCACUCUAGGGAAAGGAAAGCUCUCAGGGACCGACGGGAGCCUGGGCACAUGCGCCACCACUCUCUCCUUUAUCCCCUCUAGCCCGGCUUGCUGGCUCUCACUUUCUUUUGUGCACUAGAACUCACGUACAAGUUGCACACCCAAACCCUUGCAUGCUGCAUUUCAGAGUCAACUUCAGUGAUUUUUGAGAGUGAUUUUGACAAUCCCAGUCAAAAUUCUAGCAGGUUUUUUUUUUUUACAUGACAAGUGGAUUCUAAAAUUCAUAGGAAAAUGCAAAUGACCUAGAAGAGCCAAAGCAAUUUUGGAAGGAGUAAAGUCGAAUGGCUGACGCUACCAGAUUUCAAGAUUCACUUGAAACGCACAGGAAUCAAGACAGGGUGGUGUCGACAGAAGGAAGGCGUCAGAGCAGGGUGACAGGAGGCAGGGCCACACACAGACGGCUGAUUGAUACCCGACAAAACCGCCGAGGUAAUUUCACAGGGAAAGGAACUCUUUUGAACAAAUGGUGCACCAACAAUUGGAUAACCAUACGGAAAAAAUUUAAAAAACAGAAGAACAUUGACCCUUCACGCACAUCAAACAUAAAUUAACUCAGAAUCCAUCAUAGGCUGGGUGUUGUGGCUCAUGCCUUUAAUCCUAGCACUUUGGGAGGCCA
rnacentral:lncRNA from 1 species